UUCUAUCAAAUGGAAACAUCAUGACCUUCAUGGAUCAUCGGCAGGAUUUGAACCUCCUAAGCUCCAGAGCACAGCACAAACCUCUACUGCUUGAACUAAAGGAGUAACAAGCUGCAGUAGCAGGCCGCUAUCCUCUGUAUGGACAAGCCAUUAGAGAGAGAGAACGCAGUGACUCGCACAAUUAUUUGCUAAACAGCAGAGGACUGUUGGGAUUCAGUCAGAAUUCCUAGCUUCUAUUUCAGACUGGAAAUAAGGCUUUAGCUCUGAAGUUCACCCUGAAGCAGAGUGCAAGCAUGGAAAAAUUCAGCCUGAAUACUUAAAAUCUGGCAAAGUAAAAACCAUCUGAAAACAGUGACUUAUGCUGGAAAGAGUCAGGCAAUCUUAACUAUAGACGUUGCUGCCAGCUCAGCCUAUAACACCAAGCAUAGAGAAAUAAAAGGAAUCAUUGCAGAUAUAAAGCACAGAGAAAAGAAAAAGAAGCAGAGGGUUCCACGCUUGCCAAGCAACAAGGUGAAAGAGACUGGAAAAAAAGAGGAGGUGUUGGCUCUGACAUACCUUCCUGAGUGAGCAUCUCUGCUGCCUCAUCACAUAAUUCAUAGUCUAAAAUGUGCCACAUAGAACAUAGGCCCUUCAUCAUAGCCACAUAAUACUAAGUCAUUAGAGUAUUCCUGAUUGAUUCCCGUCUUUCCACAUG